ACGAACGCUGGCGGCGUGCUUAACACAUGCAAGUCGAACGGAAAGGCCCCUUUGGGGGUACUCGAGUGGCGAACGGGUGAGUAACACGUGAGUAACCUGCCCUUGACUUCGGGAUAACUUCAGGCAACUGGGGCUAAUACCGGAUAGGAAUCCUUGCUGCAUGGUGGGGGUUGGAAAGCUUCGGCGGUUUUGGAUGGACUCGCGGCUUAUCAGCUUGUUGGUGGGGUAGUGGCUUACCAAGGCUUUGACGGGUAGCCGGCCUGAGAGGGCGACCGGCCACAUUGGGACUGAGAUACGGCCCAGACUCCUACGGGAGGCAGCAGUGGGGAAUAUUGCACAAUGGGCGGAAGCCUGAUGCAGCAACGCCGCGUGCGGGAUGACGGCCUUCGGGUUGUAAACCGCUUUCAGCAGGGGCGAAGCUUGUGGUGACGGUACCUGCAGAAGAAGCACCGGCUAACUACGUG
rnacentral:rRNA from 1 species